GAUGAAGUAGCUAACCUUUACAACGCUUUGGAUGAGUAAAAUCCCCACGAAAAUACGGAGAAAAUACGAACAAAAAUCGAGCAGCACCUCCCUAAGGUUGCUUCCUUGCCAUGGAGAAGGAGUUCGAAGCUCUCGGUCUGAGUGGCUCGGAUUCGAGGAUGAAGAAGCUGAAUUUAUAGGAAUUACCAACCGGGACGGGGGGAGGGGGG
rnacentral:lncRNA from 1 species